rnacentral:lncRNA from 1 species
CUCAUCUUGUAGAGUAAAGUAUAUCGGUGAUGUAAUCAUGCUAGGCUUUUGUAAGAUUCUCUUCUUUAGGUCAGCCACACACAAGUUUACUUAGAGACUCCAUAGAUUGGAUCCCGGGAUUAUGUUAAUGUUCCAAGCUUACUAUCAUGAAGACACAUCUUUGGAUCAUUUUGAUGGCAUUGAAAUUGUCACCACCUCCAAUGACCUUGUCAUUUAGGUUUCUUUUCCUACAAGCUUCCUAUCUGAGGAUGUUCUCGAACAAGGUUGUACUUCUAUGAUAUGUAUCAUAGAAGAUAUAUUAUUCAUGUCCUAGUAACAAUUGAAGCUCAUUUUGUAAGAUUCUCUUCUUUAGGUCAGCCACACACAAGUUUACUUAAAGACUCCAUAGAUUGGAUCCCGGGAUUAUGUUAAUGUUCCAAGCUUACUCUCACGAAGACACAUCUUUGGAUCAUUUUGAUGGCAUUGAAAUUGUCACCACCUCUAAUGACCUUGUCAUUUAGGUUUCUUUUCCUACAAGCUUCCUAUCUGAGGAUGUUCUCGAACAAGGUUGUACUUCUAUGAUAUGUAUCAUAGAAGAUAUAUUAUUCAAAAGCAGAAAAUAGGAAA